GAUGAACGCUGGCGGCGUGCCUAAUACAUGCAAGUCGAGCGAACGGACGAGAAGCUUGCUUCUCUGAUGUUAGCGGCGGACGGGUGAGUAACACGUGGAUAACCUACCUAUAAGACUGGGAUAACUUCGGGAAACCGGAGCUAAUACCGGAUGAUAUUUUGAACCGCAUGGUUCAAAAGUGAAAGACGGUCUUGCUGUCACUUAUAGAUGGAUCCGCGCUGCAUUAGCUAGUUGGUAAGGUAACGGCUUACCAAGGCAACGAUGCAUAGCCGACCUGAGAGGGUGAUCGGCCACACUGGAACUGAGACACGGUCCAGACUCCUACGGGAGGCAGCAGUAGGGAAUCUUGCGCAAUGGGCGAAAGCCUGACGGAGCAACGCCGCGUGAGUGGUGAAGGUCUUCGGAUCGUAAAACUCUGUUAUUAGGGAAGAACAUAUGUGUAAGUAACUGUGCACAUCUUGACGGUACCUAAUCAGAAAGCCACGGCUAACUACGUG
rnacentral:rRNA from 1 species